UACGUAGGUGGCGAGCGUUGUCCGGAUUUACUGGGCGUAAAGAGCGCGCAGGCGGUCGAUCAAGUCGAGUGUGAAAGCCCCCGGCUCAACUGGGGAGGGUCAUUCGAUACUGGUCGACUCGAAGGCAGGAGAGGGUAGUGGAAUUCCCGGUGUAGUGGUGAAAUGCGUAGAUAUCGGGAGGAACACCAGUGGCGAAGGCGGCUACCUGGCCUGUUCUUGACGCUGAGGCGCGAAAGCUAGGGGAGCAAACGGG
rnacentral:rRNA from 1 species